rnacentral:lncRNA from 1 species
UUCUCCUCUUAUCUGUUUCUACCGUUUAUUUUGUAGCUUUGCUUCCAUCAAAUUUGAACGCUGAGUUGGUUUUCUGUUUCAAUUUGUCAUUACAUAAAAUAACCAAUCCCUCCACUAUCCUCUUUCUUUUCUCUUGAUUUUGUAUACCAUCAAGUAUUAUCUUAUGGUGUUUGGGAAAUUGAUUUGUGUCUUUGUUUGUUUGUUUAUCUACCUUUUGUGCAGGAUGAUGGGUUGAAGAAUGAACGAACCGAAUGAAUUAUUCUCAUGUUUGAAUUGAUCUUCCAUAUGACUUUGAGGUCUUUGUUUUUUUGUUUGGGGUCCCCUUCUUUUGUGGUGUGAAAAAAAAAAGACUGAAAGAGUACUAUAGGAGGACUAUAGGUGAUAGCUGGGGGGUGUGGUGGUGGGGUUUUCGUGUUUUAGGGGGAGUGAAUCAAAGCUAAUUAGCAAAUAGAAUAGUUGGACAAAGGGGG